UGGUUUAAUUUCUUAGUUGCUACACUAACAGUUUAACUGAAGCGACGCAUUAAAUGGAACUUUUUGCUGUGUUUAUUCAACAGAUUCCUUUGCUCCAACCAACUUGCUAUGGCUGUUGGUAUUGAUGAUUUCUUUCAUCAUGAUUCGAGCAACAUAGAUAGAGUAUAGAGCAUCAGAGAUGAGAUUCUUCCGCUGAUACAUAGAUAGUAUACAUGUGAUGUUCGUCUGCAGAUGAGAUUUACACCUUUUCGCUGUUUAUUUUAUUUACUUAUUUGAGAUUUUGUGUAAAUAACAGCUACAAUAAACCAUACUUCGUCGAAUUUGGAUGCUUUCUGUUUCCUUGAUCCAAAUUCUCAGAUAGGAACAAUAAUGUAUAUUGGAUAUCUAUAGUUAAUAGAAUAUGGAGAUUGCGUUGUAGCCUUUUAGUUGAUAUUCAAAUUGUCUUUAGCGUCCGCGCAAAUUUGUGUACUUGCGUUAAUCUUAACCAGGCAACAGUCCUUUUCUGUGCUUUCCUUUUUUUUUCUGGUAGCAAAAAAAAGCUUCAUUUUUGAACCCAAGAAAAGAACCUAGAGGCAAAUCAGUAUCAUGAAGCUUAAAC
rnacentral:lncRNA from 1 species